UACGUAGGGGGCAAGCGUUAUCCGGAUUUACUGGGUGUAAAGGGAGCGUAGACGGCGAAGCAAGUCUGAAGUGAAAGCCCGGGGCUUAACCCCGGGACUGCUUUGGAAACUGUUUUGCUAGAGUGCUGGAGAGGUAAGUGGAAUUCCUAGUGUAGCGGUGAAAUGCGUAGAUAUUAGGAGGAACACCAGUGGCGAAGGCGGCUUACUGGACAGUAACUGACGUUGAGGCUCGAAAGCGUGGGGAGCAAACAGG
rnacentral:rRNA from 1 species